UACAGAGACUGCGAGCGUUAUUCGGAUUCACUGGGCGUAAAGGGUGCGCAGGCGGCCGUGUGUGUGAGGCGUGAAAGCCCGGGGCUUAACCCCGGAACUGCACCUCAAACUACACGGCUAGAGCAUUGGAGAGGGUAGCGGAAUUCACGGUGUAGCAGUGAAAUGCGUAGAUAUCGUGAGGAACACCAGAGGCGAAGGCGGCUACCUGGACAAUUGCUGACGCUCAGGCACGAAAGCGUGGGGAGCAAAAGGG
rnacentral:rRNA from 1 species